CACAUAAAAAAAAGUUGUUUCCUGGGGUCAACAAAGGACAGGAAAAGAGCCAACAAUUACUUAAAUAAACAGUAUUCAUAAAAACAAAAAAAUAAAAAAUACAUGCCUGUACAAACUGAGUUUCAUGUGAAGGAAGCAAUGGUUUAAAGCAACCCAGCGUUCAUUCUGCUGAAGUCCAGUAGUGUUAGGAAAAGGAAAUCAAAACCAAAUGCAAUUCCAAUGGUACUUACCAUCAGAAAAACAUCUUUCUUUCCCCUUUCUUCGUACUUCAUAAUAAUACUCUGAUCUUAUACAAUGCUUUUCAUCCCAAGAGCAGUAGCAGCAGCAGGGUGGACAUUCCCUGGGGAUCAGUGACUAGCUGGAAGUUAACAAAUUUCUGCAGCAUCUCCAAUCAACAGCUUCACCAGAAACUCUUCAGAAACAAUUUCCACACCUCAGGCAUUUCUGCUUACUAAGAUUAGGUAUAGAAGAGUGUCAGAAUAAUUGUGAUUUUUGUACUGAAUUGCUAUCUUAGAAAAAUCUUGGCAGGAAAUAAAGAGAUGUAUAGUGUGUUUAAGCUGAAUGUGAAAGAUGCAGUAGUGAGAGGGGAAUUCAGUCUUUGUUUACUAAUGACUACUGCCUACUCUCAACAUAGCAAAAGUCAACCGUCCUAGCAAUCACUGCGGAGAUUUAUGGCUUCUCAGAGUAACUACAGGCAGGGGCAACAGCAAUGUGAAAGACAAGUCACAUUCUGGAUGGCCGUACACAGCUGUCGCACUAGAAAAUGAAGAGUGUUUUGAUCAGCUCAUGCACAAAUUGGCAGACUGCAACAAGGGAACUGUGGACAAAACUGAAUAUUGUCUUCAAUGAAUUGGAAAUGAUGGUGGCAGUGUUGGAAUACAGCAAAGUUUGCACCAAGUGGAUCCUGUGAAUGCUCAUAUGGGAACAGAAAGCACACCAUAUGCAAGUUUGUUAAGACUUAUUGAACCAAUACAAGGCUGAAGGUGACAGUUUCCUGGGUCACAUUGUUACAGGUGACAAGAUGUGGUGUCACCACAAUGAGCUGGAGUAAAAAUGGCAAUCCAUGGAGUGGCAAUACAUGAAUUCCCCAUUGAAAAAUAGUUCAAGGUGUAGCCCUCAACUGGUAAAGUGAUGUAUACUGUCUUUUGGGAUAGAAAAGGGGUAAUCCUUCUGGGUUUCCUGUAACCUGGACAAACUAUCAGCUCAGACCUCUACAUCCCGAUGCUGACUAACUUCUAAAGUUAGGCUGGAGAAGAAGACAUCCUUUCUCUUGUAAUAUGAAACACCAGGCCCUUCAUCAGUUUGAAAACCACGGAGCACAUUGCCAGUCUUGGCUGGACUAUCCUUCCACACCCACUGUAUAAUCUGGAUUUGGUGCCUUCUGACUUCCAUUUGUUCAGGCCGAUGAAAGAUGGAUUGCAUUGGCAACAUUUUCUUAGCAAUUAUGCCAUCAGAGCAUCUGUGAAAUGUGAUAUUGCCACGGAAGCAGCACUGAAUUAUAGAGUGUCACGGGUCAACUGAACAUUAGAGAAGAGUUAGCAGGUGUACUGGAGGACAUGAAACACUUUUCCAGUAGAAUAAUGAAAACGAAGCUUGUCCGUCAGGACAGCUGCUCAGAACUGAACUCCACUUUGUGAGAAUCAGCCUGGAAGGUGUGCCAAGAACUACCCAAAUAUUAAUUUUACAUGACUCGUUCAACAACAGAGUCUAGAGUCACCAGUGAAGGAUCAAGUUCAUAUUAUGUUUGUAUUAACACACAAUAAAAGCAUAGGGUGGGAUAGAAGCGGCCUCUUUCAGCACCUCAUACAAGAGCUGAACAAGACCAUGGCACAAAGAUAUCAAUUCAGAAACCCAGCUCCCUAUUGUUUGGGAAGAACCUAGCAUUAUUUGGCUUCUGAGCUCAGCAUCACAAAAUAUCCUGAGUGCCUGAAAUUCUCCCAUUGUCACGGGAGCUGUAUGGCCCCAGGGACAAUCGCUGGCCUUCAAACCAAGCUUGUUGAACUUGGAGACAUCUGCCCUCCACUUGAGUGCCCUGAAGAGGCUGACCUCUGCGUGUCUGGACCUUGCCUAAUACACCCCAAGAGCAUCGAGGCUCUCACAAAGGAUGCUACCCAUGAAGAAGUAGGAGGCUGCCUACCUCAGCGAGCGCAUAGAGAUGGGCAAAAAAAGUGAGCACAGAAGGAUGAAUACAGAAACAGAAUUGAAUUACUUCUGUGAAGUUCAGGUUUCAAGUUCUCAAGAAUGAGUACGUGCUGAAAAAAAAAAAGCCUCCUGGGGCUGUGACUGUACUAUUGCCAUGAAAGCUCCGGAACAAACAGUUUUGCAUAAUGAGUGCAUUAGGCCUGUGUGGCUAGUGACCUUUCAGAACCUCACAAGCAACCGAGGAUUAGCCCUGAGAGAGGCUAUUUUGAGUCACAGAGGGUCUUCAACUGCAAGUAAUAUGGAAGAUCAUCAACAAAAACUGAAAUUUCUCCCAUGCACACAGAUCACUUACUUCUCUUCAACCCUAGAAGGUGCAUAUGGUGAUGAGGACCACUGCCACCCUUCCAUAGACUGUCUCUGGCUGUGGUCUGUCUGACAAGUGAUGAGGAACGGAAGAAACUCAGAAGUGCACCAUGUGGGAGAGCAUCCUGUAUUUUUCUUCUGGUGUUGCUUUGCAUAGCAUCCACUCUGCCAAGUAACAGAUACUUGAUGUAGAUGCUGGAAAGUACAUUUCCUUAUAUGUGAAAGAGGAGCAUAUAUGGCAAAGAUUUUGUUGUACAAGUCAUGACUUGCAAAACCCAGGUUCCUCCUAAUCUUUUCAGGCAUCUUUUUUUCCUUGUCCCUUUCCCAUUCACCUAUGUCCCAUAUCUGGGCUAUCACACAAUCUGCUUGCACAGUGAACUAUCAGGAAGAGUUCAUUCAGAUGUCAGAAAAUCCACUUGCAGCAUGCAUCCUUCCACCUGGAGGGCGCCUGAUGGGACCUCAUUCUCUUAUAUCCUGUUCAUCUCUGAAAAAGGAAAUGGAUACUCAAAGGUGGAUUUCCUACUUUGUGAGGCUUCAUUUCAUGUCUUUGCCUCAGUUCUGAUUCCCGCUGCGAACUUUCCCUCUUGUCUGUAGCAACAGGCACACAUUUACCUUGCAGAAGACAUAUGCACCAUUUGGGUAGGCUUCAGAGGACCUGUUGGUUCUCCCCAUUAAUUAGACCAUCCUGGCACUGAUGACUGGUAUCUCUGAUCUUCCAUGGCAAAGUCAUCUGUCUCAGGGGGCAUCCAAGGGAAACAGGGUGGCCAUGGCUUCAAGUGUGACUGAAAGUCCUCAUCAUAUUAUUCUCCUCAUAAUACAUUAUCUCAUCACAAUAGGAAAGGUGUCAGCUGCUCACAGAAACACUGACAAAAUUCA
ensembl:lncRNA